CGACAGCCUCUCCCGCAGCUGACGGGGGGCGGGGGCGGCCCUGGGAAGGAGGGCUGGUCUCCUGGCCCCCUGCUCCUCCCCUUACUCUCCCCUGGACUUGGAUGGACCCGAGCUGGGGGCAGCACCCCGGGGUGGGUGAUGCGGAGAGGCCCCCCAGAUUGGGCCCUGGUCAUGCAUGCGGGGUGAGGGUCGCGGCGCGCAGUUUGUGCAGCCUGGGGUGCUCGCCCAUGUGCUCACCCUGGGUGCACGAUCUACUGAGUAACGUUCUGGUGGAGAGGGAGAAGGGCAGGGUUUUGCAAGACAAACCGGCCAAGGUGAUUAAGGGUGCUGACUUCUUUCCUGGGAUUACUUAGGAGGAGGAAGAGGGGUUUGACUGAAGAGGUGAGAAACCCAGCAAGUAGAUAGUAGAUGGAACAUCCCCUUUACCCACUCCCCAUCCGGUAGGCAGACACACAAGGCUAGCUGUUUACUUCUUAGUAAGUCUGUAGCGAUGGUAGUGAGGGUGGAAGGAGUGAAUAAGGAGGCUAACCUGGCUAGCUUUCUGUUUGCUUUUCCUGCAAGUGUUCCAGCAACAGCUGUUUUCUUAAAAAGGCAUGAAUUUGGAUUGGGGCUUGACUGUGAACUCUUGUGAAAUAUAACUGCGACUUACUGACUUGGGACAUUCUGAAUGUGGCCCCUCAUUGGGGACUUUUAGGUCUGGAUUUUGCAAAAUGGUAGUGCCCAUCAUUGCCUGUGCUGUAAGUCGCUGGCCCCCUCUCUGGUAUUAGUUCUUGUCAGACGUUUUAUUAGUCUCCCUGCGGAAGGGCAAAAAACCAGGAAUCCCAUUGGCUAAAGACUGUGUACACUAUUUGACCUCUAGUGAGUUGUGAUUGGUUGGAUGAUUUUUGUUUGUAGAGUUCCUAGGGGAAAUUGGCUUCAUCAAAUUCUGCUUUAUUCUGACUUUAUUAUACACAGCAUGCCUUGUUUUAGUGGGUUCAUGCCUGGAGCCUAAGUAUGUUAUACCUGAAUCCCCUACCAUUUAAAAGGCAAUUUAUAAACAGGGUCUUGGAAUGUGACUCCACUAACGUGUGUGUCUGUGGUCUUGGUUAGAAACCCACUUGGCUGCCUUUGUCAGAGAGGUGGGGGCGGUGGUGGUGGGGGAAGGUAGCUGCUGGGAGGUGAUUGAUAAGGUUUCUUUUACAGAUUCUGUGCUGCUUCUCUGGAGCUCAGAGCACUUUGGCAACUUAAGCACUCCAAAUUAAAAGCUCAUUAACAAUUCCUGCCCAAAGAUUCUGUAAAUGAUAAUCGGCUACCUAGGUCACAGAGUUUGGCUGAGAGCUUUCCUUCUAAUUUGAAAUUUCCAAGUAAACGUGCUUUUAUUCCCUUUCAUUUUGGAAAGUGUUUUCUUUGGGUUGGGGUAGAUUGGUGAGUGGCAUUUUCCCAGGGGAUCUGAGCAGGAUAAAAUGUUAAGAAUGUAGAAUGGUGGACAGGAAUAGAUUGCUUUCAAACCUAGCAGUUUCUUUGUUCAAAGGAUGUUGCUAGCUGUAAGGGCACCUUUGCAACUUCUAGUCCUUUGGAAGAUCUGAUUGGUAAAAGGCAUUAAGAUUUGUGUGACCUCAAGAGAAACCAGAGCGUGGAAGAUUUGUGAAUUAAGUGAUAAAAAUGAUAGGUAUCCCUUGAUAAUUUGACCUGGAGUUUGGCUAUCUUGACUUUUUUAGAACUUGAGGCAGACCUUAAUGUAUCCUGCAAGUGUUUCAUGUGUGGCCAUUUGCAGUAUGGCCUGUAGCUUUGUGGCACCCAACCCUUCCUCCAGUCCUGGCCUCAGUUCCUGACUUCUGAAUAUUGUUAGCCUUUACCUGUGCCUCCUCUUUGACUAGACUAGGAUUCUGGAUUAUUCUGAGAGCUACCACUUCAUGGUCAUCUUUCUCAGUCGAAGCUCAGAUGUUUUAAAUGUUCAGUUUCUAGGUUAAGAUAAACUCCUUAGGAAGAAAAGUAUGCCAGUAGAGUGCAUGAAAUUCAUCAUUCUUAAAAUAUAUACAGUUGACCAUUGAAAAAUGCAGGGCUUAGGGAUGCUGACACCGCCCUCCAGUAGUUGAAAAUCUGCUUAUAACUUUUGACUUUCCCCAGAGUUUACUAAUUGCUUACUGUUGACCAGGAGCCUUGCUGAUAACAUAAGCUUGAUUAACAUAUUUUGGAAUGUUAGAUGUAUAUCUACAUGUAUUUAAAGCAUUCAUGACAUCCUAACUUAAAUUUUUUUUUGGUAUUUCUAGGCUAUGUGGUUUAGCUGCAAAUUUUUUCAAAUUGUUACAAAUUUCCAAGAAAAUGUCCAUUAUAUUUAUUGAAAAACAUCUGUGUAUAAGUUGACCCACAGAGUUCAAACCUGUGUUACUCAAGGGUCAACUCUAGUACCAGUAGCUUCUGAAAGCUCUGUACCAGCCCUGUGCUUCCACAUAGAUAGCUGUUGCACCAAAGUAGUUUGACUUUAGGAGUUUGAAGUAUAGUGUGGCCCUUCAAUUAUUUCAAACAGCAUCCUCCUGGGGAUUUGAUCCUUUCUAUUGAAAUAGACUUGUUGCAGAGAUGUGUAUUUAUCCACAGCAUUGGGGCUUUCCAGCUCUAACAGAACCUUCAGCAUCCCCGGCGGCCAGUCUUGGCAUCUUCAAAGUAAGGAGAGGAAAUCAUCGAGUUCCCCAUCCUGAAGCUAAAUGGCUGGACCAUGGAGAUCGAGUCUACCUUUCACGUGUAUGUCCGGCCUGUAGUCCACCCACAGCUCACUCCCUUCUGUACAGGGCUCACCGGUGUUA